ensembl:rRNA 5S_rRNA 5S ribosomal RNA
GAAUCUGUCUAAUCUGUCCUUAAAGCUAUCUAGCCUGGGUGAUCUUAACCCUUUAAAAAGCUAAGCAGAGUCAGUCCUGGUUAGUACUUGGAUGGGAGGCCACCAGAAAUGCUCAGGGAUCUAUUUU